rnacentral:rRNA from 1 species
GAUGAACGCUGGCGGCGUGCUUAACACAUGCAAGUCGAACGGAAAGGCCCUGCUUUUGUGGGGUGCUCGAGUGGCGAACGGGUGAGUAACACGUGAGUAACCUGCCCUUGACUUUGGGAUAACUUCAGGAAACUGGGGCUAAUACCGGAUAGGAUCUCCUGCUGCAUGGUGGGGGUUGGAAAGUUUCGGCGGUUGUGGAUGGACUCGCGGCUUAUCAGCUUGUUGGUGGGGUAGGGGCUUACCAAGGCUUUGACGGGUAGCCGGCCUGAGAGGGUGACCGGCCACAUUGGGACUGAGAUACGGACCAGACUCGUACGGGAGGCAGCAGUGGGGAAUCUUGCACAGUGGGCGGAAGCGUGAUGCAGCAACGCCGCGUGCGGGAUGACGGCCUUCGGGGUGUAAACCGCUUUCGCCUGUGACGAAGCGGGAGUGACGGUAAUGGGUCAAGAAGCACCGGCUAACUACGUG